CCCCUUCGGGGGUGACGCUUGUGGAAUGAGCGGCGGACGGGUGAGUAACACGUGGGCAACCUGCCUGUAAGACUGGGAUAACCCCGGGAAACCGGGGCUAAUACCGGAUAAUACUUUCUUUUGCAUAAAGGAAAGUUGAAAGGCGGCUUCGGCUGUCACUUACAGAUGGGCCCGCGGCGCAUUAGCUAGUUGGUGAGGUAACGGCUCACCAAGGCGACGAUGCGUAGCCGACCUGAGAGGGUGAUCGGCCACACUGGGACUGAGACACGGCCCAGACUCCUACGGGAGGCAGCAGUAGGGAAUCUUCCGCAAUGGACGAAAGUCUGACGGAGCAACGCCGCGUGAGUGAUGAAGGUUUUCGGAUCGUAAAACUCUGUUGUUAGGGAAGAACAAGUAGGAUAGUAACUGAUCCUACCUUGACGGUACCUAACCAGAAAGCCACGGCUAACUACGUGCCAGCAGCCGCGGUAAUACGUAGGUGGCAAGCGUUGUCCGGAAUUAUUGGGCGUAAAGCGCUCGCAGGCGGUCCUUUAAGUCUGAUGUGAAAUCUCGCGGCUCAACCGCGAACGGUCAUUGGAAACUGGAGGACUUGAGUACAGAAGAGGAGAGUGGAAUUCCACGUGUAGCGGUGAAAUGCGUAGAGAUGUGGAGGAACACCAGUGGCGAAGGCGACUCUCUGGUCUGUAACUGACGCUGAGGAGCGAAAGCGUGGGGAGCGAACAGGAUUAGAUACCCUGGUAGUCCACGCCGUAAACGAUGAGUGCUAGGUGUUAGGGGGUUUCCGCCCCUUAGUGCUGAAGUUAACGCAUUAAGCACUCCGCCUGGGGAGUACGGCCGCAAGGCUGAAACUCAAAAGAAUUGACGGGGGCCCGCACAAGCGGUGGAGCAUGUGGUUUAAUU
rnacentral:rRNA from 1 species